GGACAGGUGGUGCAUGGUUGUCGUCAGCUCGUGUCGUGAGAUGUUGGGUUAAGUCCCGCAACGAGCGCAACCCUUGUCUUUAGUUGCCAUCAUUCAGUUGGGCACUCUAGAGAGACUGCCGAGGACAACUCGGAGGAAGGUGGGGAUGACGUCAAAUCAUCAUGCCCCUUAUGUCCUGGGCUACACACGUGCUACAAUGGCUGGUACAAAGAGACGCAAGACCGCGAGGUGGAGCAAAUCUCAAAAACCAGUCCCAGUUCGGAUUGCAGGCUGCAACUCGCCUGCAUGAAGUCGGAGUUGCUAGUAAUCGCAGAUCAGAAUGCUGCGGUGAAUGCGUUCCCGGGUCUU
rnacentral:rRNA from 2 species